rnacentral:rRNA from 1 species
AGUGAACGCUGGCGGUAGGCCUAACACAUGCAAGUCGAACGGCAGCACAGGAGAGCUUGCUCUCUGGGUGGCGAGUGGCGGACGGGUGAGGAAUACAUCGGAAUCUACUUUUUCGUGGGGGAUAACGUAGGGAAACUUACGCUAAUACCGCAUACGACCUACGGGUGAAAGCAGGGGAUCUUCGGACCUUGCGCGAUUGAAUGAGCCGAUGUCGGAUUAGCUAGUUGGCGGGGUAAGGGCCCACCAAGGCGACGAUCCGUAGCUGGUCUGAGAGGAUGAUCAGCCACACUGGAACUGAGACACGGUCCAGACUCCUACGGGAGGCAGCAGUGGGGAAUAUUGGACAAUGGGCGCAAGCCUGAUCCAGCCAUACCGCGUGGGUGAAGAAGGCCUUCGGGUUGUAAAGCCCUUUUGUUGGGAAAGAAAUCCAGCUGGUUAAUACCCGGUUUGGAUGACGGUACCCAAAGAAUAAGCACCGGCUAACUUCGUGCCAGCCGCCGCGGUAA